UCAGAAGCACUUCUGUGCCACCUUUGCGGUGUAAAUUUGUCACUAGCAUGUGUAACAUGCUUGCUUAUGGUAUUUUUUUUAAUUAGUGGAUGCAAUAAAUUGUUUUAGCUUUGAAAUGGCAACUCAAAUGAGUAAAAUCAUUUCCCAAAGAGAGUAAGAGUAAACAAUAUUUUCAUUUUUGAUUCAACUUAGUCAUAGCUGGAAUUCACACAUCGGACACAGAUGGCGUCAAUCCUAAUGCCUUCAUUCUGUUCAUUUGUCAACACUUUACAAUUAGCUUGGACUCAUACUGAGGGCAAAUAAGGAAACAGAUGCACUGGAUGGAGUAAAUUCAACAGGAUGAUACUGUCUGAAGCCUAAUCCAGAGUGCAGAAACAUUAAAUAUGGCUCUAUCUCUGGAUGUCCUCUCAGGAUUGAUUUUAAUCACUGGAGACGUACCAAUGUAUUUAAAACAUGUUUUCCAUUUUGCUGUGUGAAUUUAAUUAUGAACGUUAUCUGAAUGAACUUGGUUGAGGAUUAUGUAAGUUAAAAUAUGAAGACUCUUUAAAGGUGCCCCGUUAUGUGCAAAUUGGUGAUAAAAUAUCAACAAUUAUGAAGGAUCCAAACAAGACCUGUAUUCAUUUAUUAUUUUAGCUUGUAAACAAGCAUAAUAAUACAAUCUUAAUGGAAACAAAAUGAAAUAUGCAGCUCCUAAGCACUGAUUUUAUGUGAAUGAAAAAAAUCUUAUAAAAUCACAAUGAAAUGGAAGUAGCGACAGAGCUUGUGACGAGCAUCUGAGUGUAACAGAUUAUUGAGAAGAAGAAAAAAACAAUGUAAGGUGUGAAUUGGUGAUUGGGUAUAAAUGAGUGGAGAAGUCUGGCAGAAGUCACCUUAUUUUUACUGCAAGAAUGAGUUGACAUUUUGAUUAUGAGGUCCAAAAAAAAAAAUCAAAGAUACAUGGAUGAUGAAAAAAAAGCUGUAUGAGAGAACUUCAAAUGGAGGAACAUAUGUAAUGUUUUAAUUUCUAUGGGAAAAGGUAACUUUGAUUGAAAAAAACUAUCGCUUUCAAAAAAUUGAUUUGACGCCAAUAUGUAAAAGUGCUGAUUGUACACAGGUUGUAAAAAAAGGUUAUUUUCCAAUGAUUACAAAAGUGCACAGACAUUGUAAAGGUUGUAGGAGUGAACUGUUUUAUACUCUGGGGUUGCUGGAGCUCCAGAUAAGAUUUUACAUGCAAAAAAACAAACAAAUAAUUUCUCGAAGACAGUUAGCACAGGUGUGAUGUAGUAAG